rnacentral:lncRNA from 1 species
GAGAGAGAGAGAGAGAGAGAGAGAGAGAGAGAGAUGCUAGGGCUACUAUCCUAUUAAUAGGAUAGUAACACUUGUCCUAUCAAAUUAUUAUUCUUGAUGAUAGAGAUUCCGAAUCGAUGAUCAGAGCCGUUGAAGUUGAUCUAGAAUAUUUGAAAUAUCUAGAAAUUAAAUUUCAUAAAUUUUAAAAAUUAUUUACAUGGUGAUCAAAGUGUCGUAAAAUCGACAAUUUUUGACGGCCUAUAUAUAUGAGCAAUUUGCUUGUUUAAUAAUAUAGAGUAAUCCAAAUUGCUUGAAUUUUUGAUAGAAAAUUUUUUAUACUAUUUAGAUAAUAUUUGAUAACUCUGAUCAUGAUUUGAGAAAGUUUAACCUCUAUUUUAAGAAGAUUAUUCAUUUAUGACCAUUCAUUUUUUCGACUCUUCGAUAGACUUGAUAAUGAUUUUCAAAAAUUACAAAAUUCGGUUUUUAAAUAUUUCUUAUAGUGUAGAUCAAUUUCAACAGUGCCGAUUAUCAAUUUGGAAUGUCGAUCAUUCAAAACCAUUUGAUAGGACAAUGGUCCCAAUCCUAUUAAUAGAUAGUAGCCGGACUCUAUAUAUAUAU